rnacentral:misc_RNA from 1 species
AGAAGUGAACCUAGGAUCUCUGUCAGACACAAUUGAUACUGGCACUCCAUGCAGUUUUACAAUCUCAUAUAUGUACAAUCUGGCCAAUCUUUCUAGGCUAUAGUCCAUUCGAACUGGCAAAAAGUGAGCAGACUUGGUUAGUCUGUCAACUAUAAGCCAUACUGCAUCAUGACUAUUCUGUGUCUUCAGAAGUCUCAUCACAAAAUCCAUAGUUAUCUGUUCCCUUACAAUGUUUCAUAGGGUGCCACUUGUAUGCUAGCUUGACACUUAUUAAUGUAUACAAAUUCUGUUAGUGGGAUGUAUCUGUCCCAUCUCCUCUCGGAUUCAAUGACACAAGUUCUCGAUAUAUUCUUGAGGGCUUAUCACAUUUUACAGGUUAUUUUUAUCAUUUCAUUUCAUUAUUUAUAGGAACUCAAUGAGUUUCCGAAUUUACCUGAAUUACUUGUUUCAAUUGUCCAUCUGUCUGAGGAUGAUACGUUGUACUGAUAUCUCUAAGCUUAUAGCAAUUAUUGUGGUACAGGUAAUUCACAUUAAUAUAACUGAGUCACUGACUCUAGCUACCUUACAAGUGUAGUCGUUUGAUAGGCUAGUUCUGAAGUCUUAAAUUUCUGACUAAAAUUUUCAUAUUUAUUUCCAGUACUAGUACUCUAUUCGGGUGUAACUGUAUCAAUUUAUAGAUUACUUACAAAUAUUCUUAAUUUAUUGUACCACGAGGAAGCACGUAGCUCUACAAUAAUCUCGUGUCGG